rnacentral:rRNA from 1 species
UACGUAGGGUGCAAGCGUUGUCCGGAAUUAUUGGGCGUAAAGAGCUUGUAGGCGGUUUGUCGCGUCUGCUGUGAAAUUUCGGGGCUCAACCCCGAACUUGCAGUGGGUACGGGCAGACUAGAGUGUGGUAGGGGAGACUGGAAUUCCUGGUGUAGCGGUGAAAUGCGCAGAUAUCAGGAGGAACACCGAUGGCGAAGGCAGAUCUCUGGGCCACUACUGACGCUGAGAAGCGAAAGCAUGGGGAGCGAACAGG